AUGAACGCUAGCGACAGGCUUAACACAUGCAAGUCGAGGGGCAGCAGGGCUUUCGGGCCGCUGGCGACCGGCGCACGGGUGAGUAACACGUAUGCAACCUACCUAUAACACGGGGAUAGCCCGGAGAAAUUCGGAUUAAUACUCGAUAAUACAGGGGCACCGCAUGGUGCUAUUUGUUAAAGAUUUAUUGGUUAUAGAUGGGCCUGCGUUGGAUUAGCUAGUUGGUUGAGGUAACGGCUCACCAAGGCAACGAUCCAUAGGGGAACUGAGAGGUUUAUCCCCCACACUGGUACUGAGACACGGACCAGACUCCUACGGGAGGCAGCAGUGAGGAAUAUUGGUCAAUGGGCGAGAGCCUGAACCAGCCAAGUCGCGUGAAGGAUGAAGGUAUUAUGUAUUGUAAACUUCUUUUUUAGGGGAAUAAUAUCCCGGACGUGUCCGGGCCUUGUAUGUACCCUACGAAUAAGCAUCGGCUAACUCCGUGCCAGCAGCCGCGGUAAUACGGAGGAUGCGAGCGUUAUCCGAAUUUAUUGG
rnacentral:rRNA from 1 species